rnacentral:rRNA from 1 species
UGGGGAAUUUUGGACAAUGGGCGAAAGCCUGAUCCAGCAAUGCCGCGUGUGUGAAGAAGGCCUUCGGGUUGUAAAGCACUUUUGUCCGGAAAGAAAUCCUUGGCUCUAAUACAGUCGGGGGAUGACGGUACCGGAAGAAUAAGCACCGGCUAACUACGUGCCAGCAGCCGCGGUAAUACGUAGGGUGCAAGCGUUAAUCGGAAUUACUGGGCGUAAAGCGUGCGCAGGCGGUUUGCUAAGACCGAUGUGAAAUCUCCGGGCUCAACCUGGGAACUGCAUUGGUGACUGGCAGGCUAGAGUAUGGCAGAGGGGGGUUAGAAUUCCACGUGUAGCAGUGAAAUGCGUAGAGAUGUGGAGGAAUACCGAUGGCGAAGGCAGCCCCCUGGGCCAAUACUGACGCUCAUGCACGAAAGCGUGGGGAGCAAACAGGAUUAGAUACCCUGGUAGUCCACGCCCUAAACGAUGUCAACUAGUUGUUGGGGAUUCAUUUCCUAGUAACGUAGCUAACGCGUGAAGUUGACCGCCUGGGGAGUACGGUCGCAAGAUU